rnacentral:rRNA from 1 species
GACGAACGCUGGCGGCGUGCUUAACACAUGCAAGUCGAACGGAAAGGCCCUGCUUGCAGGGUACUCGAGUGGCGAACGGGUGAGUAACACGUGGGUGAUCUGCCCUGCACUUCGGGAUAAGCCUGGGAAACUGGGUCUAAUACCGGAUAGGAGCCAUUUUUAGUGUGAUGGUUGGAAAGUUUUUUCGGUGUAGGAUGAGCUCGCGGCCUAUCAGCUUGUUGGUGGGGUAAUGGCCUACCAAGGCGGCGACGGGUAGCCGGCCUGAGAGGGUGGACGGCCACAGUGGGACUGAGAUACGGCCCAGACUCCUACGGGAGGCAGCAGUGGGGAAUAUUGCACAAUGGGCGCAAGCCUGAUGCAGCGACGCCGCGUGGGGGAUGACGGCCUUCGGGUUGUAAACUCCUUUCGCUAGGGACGAAGCUUUUUGUGACGGUACCUAGAUAAGAAGCGCCGGCUAACUACGUG